UACAGAGGUCCCGAGCGUUGUUCGGAUUCACUGGGCGUAAAGGGUGCGUAGGCGGUCGGGUAAGUCUGAUGUGAAAUCUCUGGGCUCAACCCAGAGUCUGCAUCGGAAACUGCCGGGCUUGAGUGUGGGAGAGGUGAGUGGAAUUCCUGGUGUAGCGGUGAAAUGCGUAGAUAUCAGGAGGGACACCUGUGGCGAAAGCGGCUCACUGGACCAUAACUGACGCUGAUGCACGAAAGCUAGGGGAGCAAACAGG
rnacentral:rRNA from 1 species